AGUCGACGAACACUUUGAUCGAUUUCUUCGGAUUGAAAUUUUAGUGACUGAGUGGCGGACGGGUGAGUAACGCGUGGGCAACCUGCCUCACACAGGGGGAUAACAGUUGGAAACGGCUGCUAAUACCGCAUAAGCGCACAGUACCGCAUGGUACAGUGUGAAAAACUCCGGUGGUGUGAGAUGGACCCGCGUCUGAUUAGCUAGUUGGCAGGGCAACGGCCUACCAAGGCGACGAUCAGUAGCCGACCUGAGAGGGUGACCGGCCACAUUGGGACUGAGACAUGGCCCAAACUCCUACGGGAGGCAGCAGUGGGGAAUAUUGCACAAUGGGGGAAACCCUGAUGCAGCGACGCCGCGUGAGCGAAGAAGUAUUUCGGUAUGUAAAGCUCUAUCAGCAGGGAAGAAGAAAUGACGGUACCUGACUAAGAAGCACCGGCUAAAUACGUGCCAGCAGCCGCGGUAAUACGUAUGGUGCAAGCGUUAUCCGGAUUUACUGGGUGUAAAGGGAGCGCAGGCGGAAGGCUAAGUCUGAUGUGAAAGCCCGGGGCUCAACCCCGGUACUGCAUUGGAAACUGGUCAUCUAGAGUGUCGGAGGGGUAAGUGGAAUUCCUAGUGUAGCGGUGAAACGCGUAGAUAUUAGGAGGAACACCAGUGGCGAAGGCGGCUUACUGGACGAUAACUGACGCUGAGGCUCGAAAGCGUGGGGAGCAAACAGGAUUAGAUACCCUGGUAGUCCACGCCGUANACGAUGAAUACUANGUGUCGGAAAGCACAGCUUUUCGGUGC
rnacentral:rRNA from 1 species